AUUCGAGCCUCUUCAAAAACUGGAUUGGCGUUAUUUGAGAUCAAUACAUUGUUUUGUAGAUUACAAAUAAUGCAAGCAUAUAUCAUAUUACAUAUCACUACAGAGUUUGUUCUCGUGAACCCUCAGCGGUCAAAACUGACAAGUCUUACAUAACAUUUGGUAACACCAGUGAAAAGAGAGCGCAAGUAAACGGCAAAAAUUAUUUUCUAACAUUUAGCAUUUUCUUUUCAUGGACAAAUUAAACUUCUCAGGAUGGUAAAUAUAGAAGCAUCCACUCGCAGGCGGAUAAAGAAUCAAUAUCCACAUAAGAGGAAAUAAAACGCUUAGAACCAGCUUGGCAGUCUUUGUUCCUACCAAAGCUUAAGCAGUUGCAGCCAUUGGAACUGAUUUUGCUGCUCUGUAACAUGCCCUCUUUGCUCCACGAACAAUAUCUUCAAUCUGUGGAACAGCCAUUCUUUCUAGAUUUGCUGCAUAUGGCAUCGGAACGUCAGCCCCAGAUAUCCUCUCAACUGGUGCAUCAAGAUAUUCAAAACUUUCCUCAACCACAGAAGCACAGAUCUCAGCUCCAACGCCGUGUUGUGGGAACCCUUCUUCAACAGUUAAAAGCCUGUUGGUUUUCCUCACAGAAGCAUUAAUGGUGGAUCUAUCAAGCGGUCGGAUAGAGCGCAAAUUUAUGACCUCAGCACUAAUUCCCUCUUUUGCAAGAAUUUCAGCAGCCUUAAGAGCAGAACCAACCAUCUUUGAGAAAGCAGUAAUUGUGAUAUCCUUUCCUUCACGUUCAAUCUUAGCUUUUCCAAUGGGAAGAGCGAAACUAGAAUCAAGAACUUCAGCAGAAACAGGGAAAGACUCACCAUAUAGCAAUUCAUUUUCCAGAAAAACAACAGGAUCUGGGUCCCUGAUAGCAGCUUUUAGCAGACCGCGAGCAUCCUCAGACGAGUAUGGAGCUAGCACCUUCAAUCCAGGACAUGCACCAAACCACGCCGCAUAGCACUGAGAGUGUUGAGCACCUACUCCAGCUGCAGCACCAUUAGGACCCCUGAAGACGAUGGGGACUGCGAUCUGACCGGCAGACAUAUAAUUUGAUUUUGCAGCAGAAUUGAUAAUAUGGUCAAUAGCCUGCAUUGAAAAGUUGAAAGUCAUGAAUUCUAUAACAGGCUUCAAACCAUGGUAAGCAGCACCAACUCCCAUUCCAGUAAAUCCAGCCUCAGUAAUGGGUGUAUCAAGAACUCUUUGUGGACCAUAUUUAUUCAACAGCCCUUUGGUAAUCUUAUAGGCUCCUUGGUAUUCACCAACCUCCUCUCCCAUUAUAAAGACCUUUGGAUCCGCAGACAUUUCUUCAUCCAGAGCAGAAUUCAAAGCAUCACGGACAGUCAUCUCUUUAGUUGCUGAAGAAAAAUUUCUAGAUGCAAAUACCCUGCUUCCCAACAGGAACUGAUUCAUAUUCAAAGCAGAAAUGCCUCUGGUAGCCAUUUUUCGAUUUAUAAUCCCAGACAUAUCCGCUUCCUUGUAGCUAUCAAAUUCCCUGUAGAUUAGGUGUUUGGUGGUGGCGGGCGCGAACAAUUAGUCGAGAGUGACAAAAUUGGAAAUGUGAGAGAGGCACGCUAACUGCGG
rnacentral:misc_RNA from 1 species